rnacentral:misc_RNA from 1 species
AUUGCACUCUGCAACUCGAGUGCAUGAAGUCGGAAUCGCUAGUAAUCGCGGAUCAGCAUGCCGCGGUGAAUACGUUCUCGGGCCUUGUACACACCGCCCGUCACACCAUGGGAGUUGGUUUUGCCUGAAGACGGUGUGCUAACCGCAAGGAGGCAGCCGGCCACGGUAGGGUCAGCGACUGGGGUGAAGUCGUAACAAGGUAGCCGUAGGGGAACCUGCGGCUGGAUCACCUCCUUUCUAAGGAAGAUGUUGAGUAUCAUUGAAUUUAUUGAGUGAUCUGAACGUUUUUUGAAGAUUAAAGCUUUUAAUUAAGCUUGAUAUAAAUUUGCUGUUGUGAAGCAGCGUUUUUAAAAGGAUCGCCGUCCAUGUUUCUCUUUCUUUUCGGAUUUUUUGCGAUGAUGGGGGGUCGUUAAUAUUUGGUUUUGAGGGCCCGUAGCUCAGGUGGUUAGAGUGCACCCCUGAUAAGGGUGAGGUCGGUAGUUCAAAUCUACCUGGGCCCACCACUUUUUGUUCAGGGGGCCGUAGCUCAGUCGGUAGAGCGCCUGCUUUGCAAGCAGGAUGCCAGCGGUUCGAUUCCGCUCGGCUCCACCAUUGGCGUAAU